rnacentral:rRNA from 1 species
UACAGAGGUCCCAAGCGUUGUUCGGAUUCACUGGCGUAAAGGGUGCGCAGGUGGCAUGACAAGUUCGAUGUGAAAGCCCCGGGCUCAACCCGGGAAGUGCACUCGAUACUGUCGAGCUAGAGUAUCGGAGAGGUUGGUGGAAUUCUCGGUGUAGAGGUGAAAUUCGUAGAUAUCGAGAGGAACACCGGUGGCGAAGGCGGCCAACUGGACGAAUACUGACGCUGAGACUCGAAAGCGUGGGGAGCAAACAGG